GGGCAGGACUGAAGUUUUGGGUCAAUCAAGGACCAUCACAAUGUCCCAAAGGUGGGAGAGGAACUGUAUCAUCUAUAAGAAAAGGUCUGUGGAGUUGUGGAUGACCUGAGACUGGACUUGGAGAGUG
rnacentral:lncRNA from 1 species